AACAAACACAAAAUUAGUUUCAAUGGCAUAGUGUGGCAACGAUUGACAAUUACAUUUAAUAUGACACAGUGAAAUUAGGAUGAAUUUAAGUGUUAACAUUAAAUAACGUGAUUUCUAGUUUUGUAAUAUAUUAAAAUGGUAUUGCCCAAGUCCCUCCACGUCGAAAAAAGCCUAUGCAUUCUUAUAAGGCCUAUGCCAACAACGUAUUUAAUCAGCUGCGCUCAGAUUGGUUAAAAGCCAGGGGCUGCCUGUAAUUCACUUCCGGUUCAAUGCAUUUAAAACGAAGGGAGAGCGGCACAGCGCUUAGAUGCUGCGCCGCGGAUUUGCCAGAUGGAUGGAUAAGGAUGCUGGUGGUGGAUGGAUUUUCACGUGGCAUAGCAAGGUGCUGUGAGGAAAAACUCAGUGACACGUUCAGCCACGGACGAGGAGGUCACAAAGCAUGCCAUCAGGUUCAACCUGGCAGAAGAUCGGGCCACUAGGAGACGUCCCGCCUCCUUCCAAACGGAGUAGCCUAAGCUAAUAAGAGAAAUAAGAAUUAAAAAAUAUUUUUUAUUGAA